rnacentral:rRNA from 1 species
AUUGAACGCUGGCGGAAUGCUUUACACAUGCAAGUCGAACGGCAGCACGGACUUCGGUCUGGUGGCGAGUGGCGAACGGGUGAGUAAUGUAUCGGAACGUGCCCAGUCGUGGGGGAUAACGUAGUGAAAAUUACGCUAAUACCGCAUACGAUCUAUGGAUGAAAGCGGGGGAUCGCAAGACCUCGCGCGAUUGGAGCGGCCGAUAUCAGAUUAGGUAGUUGGUGGGGUAAAGGCCCACCAAGCCAACGAUCUGUAGAUGGUCUGAUAGGACGACCAGCCACACUGGAACAGAGACACGGUCCAGACUCCUACGGUAGGCAGCAGUGGGGAAUUUUGGACAAUGGGCGAGAGCCUGAUCCAGCCAUUCCGCGUGCAGGAUGAAGGCCCUCGGGUUGUAAACUGCUUUUGUACAGAACGAAAAGGUUUCUACUAAUACUAUGAGCUCAUGACGGUACUGUAAGAAUAAGCACCGGCUAACUACGUGCCAGCAGCCGCAGUAA